UUAAGCGACUAAGCGUACACGGUGGAUGCCCUGGCAGUCAGAGGCGAUGAAGGACGUGCUAAUCUGCGAAAAGCGUCGGUAAGGUGAUAUGAACCGUUAUAACCGGCGAUGUCCGAAUGGGGAAACCCAGUGCAAUUCGUUGCACUAUCGUUAACUGAAUACAUAGGUUAACGAGGCGAACCGGGGGAACUGAAACAUCUAAGUACCCCGAGGAAAAGAAAUCAACCGAGAUUCCCCCAGUAGCGGCGAGCGAACGGGGAGCAGCCCAGAGUCUGAAUCAGCUUGUGUGUUAGUGGAACGGUCUGGAAAGUCCGACGGUACAGGGUGAUAGUCCCGUACACCAAAAUGCACAGGCUGUGAACUCGAAGAGUAGGGCGGGACACGUGGUAUCCUGUCUGAAUAUGGGGGGACCAUCCUCCAAGGCUAAAUACUCCUGACUGACCGAUAGUGAACCAGUACCGUGAGGGAAAGGCGAAAAGAACCCCGGCGAGGGGAGUGAAAAAGAACCUGAAACCGUGUACGUACAAGCAGUGGGAGCACCUUCGGGUGUGACUGCGUACCUUUUGUAUAAUGGGUCAGCGACUUAUAUUCUGUAGCAAGGUUAACCGUAUAGGGGAGCCGCAGGGAAACCGAGUCUUAACUGGGCGUUAAGUUGCAGGGUAUAGACCCGAAACCCGGUGAUCUAGCCAUGGGCAGGUUGAAGGUUGGGUAACACUAACUGGAGGACCGAACCGACUAAUGUUGAAAAAUUAGCGGAUGACUUGUGGCUGGGGGUGAAAGGCCAAUCAAACCGGGAGAUAGCUGGUUCUCCCCGAAAGCUAUUUAGGUAGCGCCUCGUGAAUUCAUCUUCGGGGGUAGAGCACUGUUUCGGCUAGGGGGUCAUCCCGACUUACCAACCCGAUGCAAACUACGAAUACCGAAGAAUGUUAUCACGGGAGACACACGGCGGGUGCUAACGUCCGUCGUGAAGAGGGAAACAACCCAGACCGCCAGCUAAGGUCCCAAAGUCAUGGUUAAGUGGGAAACGAUGUGGGAAGGCACAGACAGCCAGGAUGUUGGCUUAGAAGCAGCCAUCAUUUAAAGAAAGCGUAAUAGCUCACUGGUCGAGUCGGCCUGCGCGGAAGAUGUAACGGGGCUAAACCAUGCACCGAAGCUGCGGCAGCGACACUAUGUGUUGUUGGGUAGGGGAGCGUUCUGUAAGCCUGCGAAGGUGUGCUGUGAGGCAUGCUGGAGGUAUCAGAAGUGCGAAUGCUGACAUAAGUAACGAUAAAGCGGGUGAAAAGCCCGCUCGCCGGAAGACCAAGGGUUCCUGUCCAACGUUAAUCGGGGCAGGGUGAGUCGACCCCUAAGGCGAGGCCGAAAGGCGUAGUCGAUGGGAAACAGGUUAAUAUUCCUGUACUUGGUGUUACUGCGAAGGGGGGACGGAGAAGGCUAUGUUAGCCGGGCGACGGUUGUCCCGGUUUAAGCAUGUAGGCUGGUUGUCCAGGCAAAUCCGGAUAAUCAAGGCUGAGGUGUGAUGACGAGGCACUACGGUGCUGAAGUAACAAAUGCCCUGCUUCCAGGAAAAGCCUCUAAGCAUCAGGUAACAUUAAAUCGUACCCCAAACCGACACAGGUGGUCAGGUAGAGAAUAGCAAGGCGCUUGAGAGAACUCGGGUGAAGGAACUAGGCAAAAUGGUGCCGUAACUUCGGGAGAAGGCACGCUGGUGUGUAGGUGAAGCCCCUGCGGGUGGAGCUGAGACCAGUCGAAGAUACCAGCUGGCUGCAACUGUUUAUUAAAAACACAGCACUGUGCAAACACGAAAGUGGACGUAUACGGUGUGACGCCUGCCCGGUGCCGGAAGGUUAAUUGAUGGGGUUAUCCGUAAGGAGAAGCUCUUGAUCGAAGCCCCGGUAAACGGCGGCCGUAACUAUAACGGUCCUAAGGUAGCGAAAUUCCUUGUCGGGUAAGUUCCGACCUGCACGAAUGGCGUAAUGAUGGCCAGGCUGUCUCCACCCGAGACUCAGUGAAAUUGAACUCGCUGUGAAGAUGCAGUGUACCCGCGGCAAGACGGAAAGACCCCGUGAACCUUUACUAUAGCUUGACACUGAACAUUGAGCCUUGAUGUGUAGGAUAGGUGGGAGGCUUUGAAGCGUGGACGCCAGUCUGCGUGGAGCCAACCUUGAAAUACCACCCUUUAAUGUUUGAUGUUCUAACGUUGGCCCCUUACCGGGGUUGCGGACAGUGUCUGGUGGGUAGUUUGACUGGGGCGGUCUCCUCCCAAAGCGUAACGGAGGAGCACGAAGGUUAGCUAAUCCUGGUCGGACAUCAGGAGGUUAGUGCAAUGGCAUAAGCUAGCUUGACUGCGAGCGUGACGGCGCGAGCAGGUGCGAAAGCAGGUCAUAGUGAUCCGGUGGUUCUGAAUGGAAGGGCCAUCGCUCAACGGAUAAAAGGUACUCCGGGGAUAACAGGCUGAUACCGCCCAAGAGUUCAUAUCGACGGCGGUGUUUGGCACCUCGAUGUCGGCUCAUCACAUCCUGGGGCUGAAGUAGGUCCCAAGGGUAUGGCUGUUCGCCAUUUAAAGUGGUACGCGAGCUGGGUUUAGAACGUCGUGAGACAGUUCGGUCCCUAUCUGCCGUGGGCGCUGGAGAAUUGAGGGGGGCUGCUCCUAGUACGAGAGGACCGGAGUGGACGCAUCACUGGUGUUCGGGUUGUCAUGCCAAUGGCACUGCCCGGUAGCUAAAUGCGGAAGAGAUAAGUGCUGAAAGCAUCUAAGCACGAAACUUGCCCCGAGAUGAGUUCUCCCUGAGACUUUAAGUCUCCUGAAGGAACGUUGAAGACGACGACGUUGAUAGGCCGGGUGUGUAAGCGCAGCGAUGCGUUGAGCUAACCGGUACUAAUGAACCGUGAGGCUUAACCUU
rnacentral:rRNA from 1 species